GAAAUAAAGCAGAAGUUCCCGCUUCUCGCCUUAGUAGACACUUGAUGUCUCUGGGCUGAUAGUUUCUAAUUCGGACGAAUUAAGUUAUCGAAUAGCGGGCCUUUCUGUUGAAGGGGCCGUUUUUUUGGUGCU
rnacentral:sRNA from 2 species